rnacentral:lncRNA from 1 species
CACUAGAGAUUCUGUUUUGAUGUGGAAAAAUCCAGCUGCUCCUAUUUCCAGAGAAGCUAAAAAGUCGACAAUGAGCUUGGCUGUCUUCCUCGGUCUCUCCAUCACUACCGAAUGGCCACAGUUUUCCAGAACCUCUACCUGGGAGUUAGAGAUUGACUUGGCUAAUAUGUCUGCCCCGGACACAUCAAGCACCUGCAGAGGACGAGAAAGAAAGAAACAUAUAUUUUUCAUGCAUUUCUAAUCUCUGUAAGUACAGUGUGACUUCCUGCUUCUGCUCUGCCCACAUAGGACUCACAAUUGUUGUGGGUCACCCUGGGGCUGUUUGUAUUC